GACGAACGCUGGCGGCGUGCUUAACACAUGCAAGUCGAACGGAAAGGCCCUGCUUUUGUGGGGUGCUCGAGUGGCGAACGGGUGAGUAACACGUGAGUAACCUGCCCUUGACUUUGGGAUAACUUCAGGAAACUGGGGCUAAUACCGGAUAGGAGCUCCUGCUGCAUGGUGGGGGUUGGAAAGUUUCGGCGGUUGGGGAUGGACUCGCGGCUUAUCAGCUUGUUGGUGGGGUAGUGGCUUACCAAGGGUUUGACGGGUAGCCGGCCUGAGAGGGUGACCGGCCCCAUUGGCACUGAGAUACGACCCAGACUCCUACGUGAGGCAGCAGUGGGUAAUAUUUCACAAUGUGCGGAAGCCUGGUGCAGCAACGCCGCGUGCGGGAUGACGGCCUUCGGGUUGUAAACCGCUUUCGCCUGUGACGAAGCGUGAGUGACGGUAAUAGGUAAAGAAGCACCGGCUACCUACGU
rnacentral:rRNA from 1 species